GAUGAACGCUGGCGGCGUGCCUAAUACAUGCAAGUCGAGCGAACGGACGAGAAGCUUGCUUCUCUGAUGUUAGCGGCGGACGGGUGAGUAACACGUGGAUAACCUACCUAUAAGACUGGGAUAACUUCGGGAAACCGGAGCUAAUACCGGAUAAUAUUUUGAACCGCAUGGUUCAAAAGUGAAAGACGGUCUUGCUGUCACUUAUAGAUGGAUCCGCGCUGCAUUAGCUAGUUGGUAAGGUAACGGCUUACCAAGGCAACGAUGCAUAGCCGACCUGAGAGGGUGAUCGGCCACACUGGAACUGAGACACGGUCCCGACUCCUACGGGAGGCAGCAGUAGGGAAUCUUCCGCAAUGGGCGAAAGCCUGACGGAGCAACGCCGCGUGAGUGAUGAAGGUCUUCGGAUCGUAAAACUCUGUUAUUAGGGAAGAACAUAUGUGUAAGUAACUGUGCACAUCUUGACGGUACCUAAUCAGAAAGCCACGGCUAACUACGU
rnacentral:rRNA from 1 species